GUGUAGGAUAAUCUGUCUUUAAGUUGGGGGAUAAAUUACUCUUGAACAAAAUGAUCCUAGAUAUUUCCUCUUCAAGUCAAGUGUCUUGU
rnacentral:pre_miRNA from 1 species